ACCUUCAAUUGCCGAAGGUUCCUACGCUUUGGCUGCCUAGAACUAGGCUGCCCGAGUCCCAGCUAGUCGCCGGAACCGGCUGACGACUCGUAUCACCCCCUCCGGAUCGCCGCGGGUCACUGCCGAGCACGCCCGCGGUUAAACCAAGUUCUUGGCUAGUGCUGAGGCAGCCCUGUCGACGAGGCGGCCGUAGUGCGAAAUCAAACUCGACGACUAUGCACGUAGACGCUCGCGUGGAACCAUAGCGGGACGCGGGUUCGAUUCCCGCCGCCUCCACUU
rnacentral:tmRNA from 1 species